AGCAGCCGCGGUAAUUCCAGCUCCAAUAGCAUAUAUUAAAGUUGUUGCAGUUAAAAAGCUCGUAGUUGAAUUUCGGGAUUAGUAGUCUGGUCGUGCCACUGGUAUGUACUGGUCUUACUGAUUUCUCCUUCCUGAAGAACUGUAAUGUCAUUAAUUUGGUGUUGCGGGGAAUCUGGACUGUUACUUUGAAAAAAUUAGAGUGUUUAAAGCAGGCUAACGCUUGAAUACAUUAGCAUGGAAUAAUGAAAUAGGACGUUCGAUCCUAUUUUGUUGGUUUCUAGGAUUGACGUAAUGAUUAAUAGGGAUAGUUGGGGGCAUUAGUAUUCAAUUGUCAGAGGUGAAAUUCUUGGAUUUAUUGAAGACUAACUACUGCGAAAGCAUUUGCCAAGGAUGUUUUCAUUAAUCAAGAACGAAAGUUAGGGGAUCGAAGACGAUCAGAUACCGUCGUAGUCUUAACCAUAAACCUAUCGACCGACUAGGGAUCGGGAUGAUGUUAAUUUUAUAAUGA
rnacentral:rRNA from 1 species